UGCAUGAGCUGCGGGCAGAUCAGGUGCACGUGACAGUCGACGGCGCCGGCGGUCAGGAUCCGGCCGUUGCCACCGAUCACCUCGGUGGACGGGCCCACCACCAGGUCCGGGUGCACGCCGUCCAUGGUGUCCGGGUUACCGGCUUUGCCGAUGGCCACGAUGCGGCCAUCGCGAAUACCGAUGUCGGCCUUGAUGAUUCCCCAGUGGUCGACGAUCACCGCGCCGGUGAUCACGGUGUCGGGCGCGCCGUCGGCCCGCGAGGCCCGGCCCUGGCCCAUCGACUCGCGCA
rnacentral:sRNA from 1 species